CCUACGGGACGCAGCAGUGAGGAAUAUUGGUUAAUGGGCGGGAGCCUGAACCAGCCAAGCCGCGUGAAGGAAGAAGGCGCCAGGCGUCGUAAACUUCUUUUGUCGGGGAACAAAGGGCGCCACGUGUGGCGUUGUGAGUGUACCCGAAGAAAAAGCAUCGGCUAACUCCGUGCCAGCAGCCGCGGUAAUACGGAGGAUGCGAGCGUUAUCCGGAUUUAUUGGGUUUAAAGGGUGCGUAGGCGGUUUUUUAAGUUAGUGGUUAAACGUCAGGGCUUCACCUUGAUUUGCCAUUAAUACUGUAAGAC
rnacentral:rRNA from 1 species